GGGGCUAUAGGGUAGCUUGGACUCAUCCUUUCUGGUUUGGGACCAGACGACCCCGGUUCAAAGCAGCAGCCCUAAAUCACACUCAAAUGGGCACUGGAGAAAGUCCGGGUAGCCCCA
rnacentral:tRNA from 1 species